UCCAGGGUAGCCGAGUGGACAAGCCACCUGCCCGGUAAGCAGAAGUGUGUGGGUUCUAUUCCCGCCCCUGGAC
rnacentral:tRNA from 1 species